rnacentral:rRNA from 1 species
GAUGAACGCUGGCGGCGUGCCUAAUACAUGCAAGUCGAGCGAAGCGGGGACGGGUGAGUAACACGUAGAUAACCUCCUAUAAGACUGGGAUAACUUCGGGAAACCGGAGCUAAACCGGAUCCUUAUAGAUGGAUCCUCGCGGCAUUAGCUAGUUGGUAAGGUAACGGCUUACCAAGGCAACGAUGCGUAGCCGACCUGAGAGGGUGAUCGGCCACACUGGAACUGAGACACGGUCCAGACUCCUACGGGAGGCAGCAGUAGGGAAUCUUCCGCAAUGGGCGAAAGCCUGAUGGAGAGACGCCGCGUGAGUGAAGAAGGUCUUCGGAUCGUAAAACUCUGUUAUUAGGGAAGCGGUACCUAAACAGAAAGCACCGGCUAACUACGUGCCAGCAGCCGCGGUAAUAC